rnacentral:rRNA from 1 species
AAUUUGAAAUCUGGCCCUUUCGGGGUCCGAGUUGUAAUUUGUAGAGAGUGCUUCGGGGGAGACCGCGGUCUAAGUCCAUUGGAACAUGGCGUCCCAGAGGGUGAGAAUCCCGUAUGUGACCGCGGCUCGAGCCCAUGUGAAGCCUCUUCGACGAGUCGAGUUGUUUGGGAAUGCAGCUCUAAAUGGGUGGUAAAUUUCAUCUAAAGCUAAAUACUGGCUGGAGACCGAUAGCGCACAAGUAGAGUGAUCGAAAGAUGAAAAGCACUUUGGAAAGAGAGUUAAACAGUACGUGAAAUUGUUGAAAGGGAAGCGCUUGCAACCAGACCUGCCCGUAGGCGAUCAACCGCUGUUCUCAGCGGUGCACUCGUUCUGCGAUCAGGCCAGCAUCGGUUCGGGCGGUCGGAUAAAGGCCUUGGGAAUGUAGCUUCCCUUCGGGGGAGUCUUAUAGCCCUCGGUGCAAUGCGGCCAGCCGGGACCGAGGACCGCGCUUCGGCUAGGAUGCUGGCGUAAUGGUUGUAAGCGACCC